rnacentral:rRNA from 1 species
AGUGAACGCUGGCGGCAGGCCUAAUACAUGCAAGUCGAACGGCAGCACAGCAGAGCUUGCUCUGUGGGUGGCGAGUGGCGGACGGUGAGGAAUACAUGGGAAUCUGCCCAGUCGUGGGGGAUAACGUAUGGAAACGUACGCUAAUACCGCAUGCGCCUACGGGGAAAGCCGGGACCGCAAGGCCUGGCGCGAUUGGAUGAGCCCAUGUUCGAUUAGCUAGUUGGCGGGGUAAAGGCCCACCAAGGCGACGAUCGAUAGCUGGUCUGAGAGGAUGAUCAGCCACACUGGGAACUGAGACACGGUCCAGACUCCUACGGGAGGCAGCAGUAGGGAAUAUUGGACAAUGGGGGCAACCCUGAUCCAGCCAUGCCGCGUGAGUGAAGAAGGCCCUCGGGUUGUAAAGCUCUUUUGUCCGGAAAGAAAGCAAUCGGUUAAUACCCGGUUGUUCUGACGGUACCGGAAGAAUAAGCACCGGCUAACUUCGUGCC